rnacentral:rRNA from 1 species
CAACUUUUCACAAUGGAUGUCUAGGCUCGCACAUCCAUGAAAAACGCUGCCAACUGGCAUACGUAAUGGCAAUUGCAGGAAUCAGUGAGUCCUCCAAAUUUUUAAAGCAUAUUGGCCUUCCGGGUUAGUCCUGGGAAUAUGCCUGGAUUCAUGUCCGUAC